rnacentral:rRNA from 1 species
AUUGAACGCUGGCGGCAGGCCUAACACAUGCAAGUCGAACGAGUGGCGGACGGGUGAGUAAUGUCUGGGAAACUGCCUGAUGGAGGGGGCUAACUACUGGAACCGGUAGCUAAUACCGCAUACCAUCGGAUGUGCCCAGAUGGGAUUAGCGAGUAGGUGGGGUAAAGGCUCACCUAGGCGACGAUCCCUAGCUGGUGUGAGAGGAUGACCAGCAACAAUGGAACUGAGACACGGUCCAGACUCCUACGGGAGGCAGCAGUGGGGAAUAUUGCACAAUGGGCGCAAGGCUGAUGCAGCCAUGCCGCGUGUAUGAAGAAGGCCUUCGGAUUGUAAAGUACUUUCAGCGGGGAGGCGUUACCCGCAGAAAAAGCACCGGCGAACUCCGUGCCAGCAGCCGCGGUAAUUC